rnacentral:rRNA from 1 species
ACCUGCCCACUGAAAAUUUAAAUGGCCGCAGUAUAUUAACUGUGCAAAGGUAGCAUAAUCAUUAGUCUUUUAAUUGAAGGCUGGUAUGAAUGGUUGGACGAAAUAUUAACUGUUUCAGAUAAAUUUAUUGUAGAAUUUUAUUUUUUAGUUAAAAAGCUAAAAUUUAUUUAAAAGACGAGAAGACCCUAUAAAUCUUGAUAUUUUAAUUUAUUUUAAUUAUAAAGAAUAAUUAUAUUAAAAUAAAAUAAAAUAUUUUAUUGGGGUGAUAUUAAAAUUUAAUAAACUUUUAAUUUGUUAAAUCAUUAAUUUAUGAAUAAUUGAUCCAGUUAUACUGAUUAAAAAUUGAAGUUACUUUAGGGAUAACAGCGUAAUUUUUUUGGAGAGUUCAUAUCGAUAAAAAAGAUUGCGACCUCGAUGUUGGAUUAAGAGAUACUUUUAGGUGUAGCCGCUUAAAUUUUAAGUCUGUUCGACUUUUAAAUUCUU